GCCGAGGAGGGUGGAUCAUGAGGUCAGGAGUUCAAGACGGUGAAACUCCAUCUCUACUAAAAACACAAAAAUUAGCCAGGAGCUGUGGCAGGUGCCUGUAAUCCCAGCUACUCAGUAGGCUGAGGCAGGAGAAUCACUUGAACCCGGGAGGUGGAGGUUGCAGUGAGCUGAGAUCGCGCCACUGCACUCUAGCCUGGGCGACAGAGCAAGACUAAAAAUAAAAAUGAAAAAAUUAUUAUCCAUGGUAUUAUCAUGGUAGUACUGACUAAAAGAGGGACACGUGUAACAAAAUCAGUAAGGAGGGUACUCCAAGAAUCCAUGUUAAAGUUAAUGAGGGCUCGAACCCAAACAUAAAGGAUGGAAAUGAUGUAAUAAAAUACCUUUUGAAAGUUAUAUUUAAAAAUUUUUGGUGAAUAGUCUAGUUAGAGGUGAAAGAAGAAAGCAGAGGAGUCUAAUGCAAUGCGUGACUUGUAGCUCAGGUAAAGGGGUGGCAGGUGACGCUUAAAUACUAGAAAUAUAAGAAGCAGCACAGGUUUGGUUUUAUCUGUGAGAACAAUGGAGUGGAGGUAUGCUUUAGAUGCAAUUAUUUAUGGGAUAUUCAAAACAGAUAUCUAUGAAGCAAAAAACUUGGGCCCAAAAAACAAGUUUGAAGGUAUAUUUGGGAGUUACCAGUAAUAUAGGUAACUGUUGAAGCUCUAAAUAUAGAAGACAAACUAGAGGAGCUUGUUUCUUGAAGAAUUCUUGUCACACUUGACAUUUUUUACAGAGAUUUCUUAAAACAGGGGCAUAUCUUCUUUGGCUAACAUAUGCAGACUAAAAUGAAAGAGUAUAGUAUAUUAUAAAAUCAAUAAAAGGUAAGAUAAAUUGAGGCCUAAAAAUAAAGAAUAAAUACACUCAGUUGAUUCUGAAGCUCUAAUUUACAGAUGCAAAAUUGUACCAGUACAUUAACUCAUAUGUCAAAACAACAUCUAGAGAAACAAAAAAUGAAAGUAAAAUGGAAAAAGAUAAAAGAAGAGAGGCAAGGAGAAGAGAAUGGGCAAAAGGAGAUAGGAAAAACAGGAAUUUUUUUUUAAAGGGCUAAAAUUUUAGUGAAUCAGAUGUGGAAAACAGUUGGAUUAACAUUGAGAUCAAAUGAGAAAGGAGCAAAUAAGGAAAGAUGUAUUACAAACCAAGAGUAAAAAAGGGAAAACAAAAUAACAAAAGCAAAAACUAUUUAAAAAGAAUAAAGGAAGACGUGAUAAUGAAGUAAAUUUAAAAAGUACGGAAUAAUAAAAAGAAAUUGCAAAAAAUACCUUUUGAAAAUAAACAUACUAAUAACUUGACAAUAAAGUGAAAUGUGUAAGACAAACAUAUCUGUGUCAUUAUUUAGGAGUAGUGAAAAGUACUCUUAAAUAAUAAUUUGGUAUCUAGCAGGCCUGGAUUUGAAUCUACUUUAACUUGCUAGCUAUGUGACCUUGGGCAAGCAAAGAAACUCCUCAUAACCAUUGUAAUAAUACCACCAAAAUGCCUUACACUUACGGCUCAAAAAAUGAAGGAAAUGAGAGAAAAAAGUAUAGAUUACUAUAUGGAAGUCAAAUUUCUAGUGACUUUUCUAAUCCAAACAUGAAUUGUUACAGUACUUGAAAUAAACUUUAUGAGAACUGAGUGACUACAUUGCUUCAGAUAGUUUUAUACUGCUAGGUCAACGCUGCCUGACAGUAAUAAGAACAGGAUGUGGGAUUCAAUAUGCUCAUUCUAUCUCAAACUCUGUCACACAUACAAUGACUGCUAUUUACCUUCCUCCUGAGCCAUCUGGGAAAAAACCAACCAACCAAACAAACAAACAAAAGAAAAACCCACCAGGUAGGAGUCAGUUAGUUCUGCUAACUAACUAACCAAAAACCUUAAUUGUAUGGCCACCAGCACCCUAGCCCUUUGUCAUGAAAGCUACCAAUAAGGUGGAAAUUUAAAAUAUGAAAUAUUUCAUUAUACAUGUUUUAUUAAACCCUACAUGUGCAGAAAUGAUUGUCCAUUUUCCUUCUUAACUUGCUUUUGUAAGACUUAUUAAGUAGAAAAUAUAAAUCUCAAGCUCCUUAAAUGUGAUUUUGAGGAACUGAGACCAAAACAAUUUUUUGCUGUGGAACCAGAUCCUUGAAUGCACUACAGGAAAAUAUUAUUUGAUAUGAAAUUUUUUUGGUACACACAAUUUUUCAAAAAUAUAUCUCUCUCCACAAAGUUAAUUCAAAUUGUAGAAUUCUUCCAAGUCACAAAUGGAGUUUUCAAGGCUCUGGGUACUUACCUUUGAGUUCCACAUCCUUUAUCUCUGGAGCUCUUAACUGAGGGAACAUGGACCAUUAGGUCAUGAACAGACUUUGUAGUCUUUGAACAGCCUGAAACAGUAUGUGAUACUUGAUGUGCAUGUACACAGGAACAUUUUUCUAGAGUAAUGGCACAUACCUUUCAUCAGAUUUUCAAAGGUUUCUCAAAAUGCUCAAGAACCACUGUUAGAUAUUUAAAUAACCAGAGUGUACAGUGUCCAAAUAUUUCCAAAUUUUGACACUUGUAAGAUGUCUUAAUUAAAACAAGCCAUGAAGUUCAGCGUCACAAUAACCAGAAAAGCACUUGUGAGAGUAGUUCUAUGUCUUUACUUCCUAGUGGUUUACACACUCUUUAACCCAUAUGGCAAUCUGGCUUCUGUCUCCGGUGCUCUGGAAUUACUUCUGCCUGUAUGAUUAAGUUCCUCAUUGUUAAAUUCGAAAAUACAUUCUUUGGUAUUUAUUUGACCUCUUGGUGGUAAUAUAGUGUAAGAGCACAGACUCUGGAGCCAAACUGCCUAGGUUCAAAUCUUAGCUCUAUUACUUUCUAACUCUGUGACUUUGGGCAAAUGACUUAACUCUCUCAUGCCUCAAAGCAGAAUCCUUUGUAAGGUUUAUUUAUAUAGUGGUGUAAAGAGUACUUACUUCAAAAGCUUUGGUCAGUGUGAGAAAUAAGCUCCUAACAAAGAAAGUGUUAUGUAAUAGUUAUUAUCUGGUACCUCUGAUCACAUCAUUUUUGAAAAUCACUUGAAAUCUGCCUAAGUUUCAUUCUGCCUUUGAUGGCUCCUUAUUUUCAUCUCCCUACUUCAGGCUUCCUCCCUAAUAUAUCUUUUAUGCCAAUAUUAUGAUCACUUGAAACUAUAAAUCUGAUGCCAUCCUUGGCCACUACCAUUAAGAUGGUCUAAACUCCUCAGCAUGAUAGACAAGUCCCUUUAUGAUAGUGUACCCAUCUAGUUCUCAUUCCUCAAGUCUCCUCUGUUGUCUAUGCUUACCCUAUGGGCUAAGCUGAAUCAAGCUGUUACAUUUCCAAAACAUGCCUCACUGUCUUUAUUCAUGCCUUUGCACAUGCCAUUGACUCUUCCUAGAAUGCCCCAUUCUCCUUCUCUAGAAAGUCUUCUCUUAACAUACUUCUUCCCAAAAUAAAUUAGGUGUCCUUUCUUAAUAUGCCUCCAAUAACCCCAUACAGUAUUUAUCCCAUUCUAUUUUAGAUGCCAGUUUGGUUGAUGAUACAUUUCAUCUAGUCAGAUCUUCCCACUGCCUCUUAUAAAGAAAACCAGGAGCCAUAUUAUGAUAUUCUUGUUCUCUAAUUUUUCUGCUGCCCUGAUCUUAAACCACUUUCUUCUCCCUUUGUUGACAAUUACCCCACCCCUUAUUUCUUAAUUAGCUCAACAAGAUUAGAUAGAAAUGUAUCUACAAAGGAUAUAUGUAUAUAAAUUAACUAGAUAACAAAACUUCACACUGAAGUGAACAUUCUACAAGUAUUUCUUUCAUUGCUGACCAUUAGGUUGCAGCAUGCAACUCUCAACAAUGAGCUGCCCCUCUCCACUCCUAUAGAAGCUCCAAAUACUAUGGUACCACUAUGUAGGUUUUCAGCCUUUCAAAGGCUUUUAUUAUGAACUUCAUCAUUACUUCAGCAGGAGCCUUUUAGGGACUUAAAAGCACUGAUUAUCUAUAAAAAGUAACUUCAUAUUUCAUGCACAAAAUUCCCAAUUGGCAGAUUUAGGUCCAUAAAAGAAAGGAAAAAAAUUAUUCUAGCUAUAUAAAUUAUCAGGAAUAAAAUAGCAUUUCUCCUUGCCUUGUUAUAAGGAAAUAAUAUAUUUUUCCUUACCAGGAAUCAGGAUAGUAUCUUUGAUGAUCCCUCAGGGUUAUAAAAUUGCUUACUGGUUAAAGUUUUUUGCCAAAGAUAUUAAGAAAUAAAAAGUUCGCUCAUUUUCCUGUGCAAUUUAAAGAAAUAUUUGCAGUAUGUACAGGAAUUUUAAGUUAUUAUUCCCUAAUAUAUAUGGCUU
rnacentral:lncRNA from 1 species